rnacentral:tRNA from 1 species
CAAAAAAUAGUUUACCUAAAACAAUAGAUUUGGGUUCUAUAAAAAAUUAUUAUUUUUUUUGA